UAUGGAGCAAUGGCUGCUUUACCUCACUCAAAUGAAGAGCAGUAUCGGCAUGUGGCAUAUAGGAAUCUGGUUCGCUUCUGUUGGGGCUACCUUGGCAGGGAGAACAGAGUUGUGCUUCCCUCAUGUGCAGUUGCCAAAAUAAGACAGCAAUUCCCUAACCCAGAAAAUGAUGGCUACACCGGAUUUCAAAGGAGAAAUAUUGCAGAAAUUUGAAAGUGUUAAUAACAGUGGAUUGUGGAGGCUUUUUUUUUUUUACUAUGCUUUGUGGGGAGUAGCCUGUAGGCUAAGAAGGGAAGAAGUUUCAUCUAUUUAAUAAUCCUUUGUGAUUCAGCAUUAUGAGUGUUUUCUGGUGUGUAAAUAUGUAUAUAAGUGUUCAUGUUAUUACUGUAUUAAAUUUCAUUGGGUUAAUUCUUCAUGAUUAGUGGGUGGGGUUAAAAUUUUAACUCUGAAUGUUGUAUACUUGCUUCAGUUUUUCUUUUCUAAAUAAAUUAAACACAACAGACAA